GCCCAUCAUAGGCCUGAAGAGCCACACUACAGAUACUUGUUUAGUGACUUAUCUGAGGUAAUCUAAACAGAACAGAAAAUAUAUCUGAGAUUUUAGAAGAAAGACUCAAUUGAAGGCUGGAUUUCCUGCCCGGCUCAAUAGCUGAAGCCAAGACCCAUAGUGCAUGUGCACUUGCAGGGCUCACGGCUAUUGUCCUGAGGGAGAGUGGUAGGAGAGAGGUUAACUAUUGCCAGCAUGUACAGGUCAAAGCCUUUUGUUGGAAUAUCUAUGCCCCUGCAGACAGGAAUGGCUGAGGAUUUAUAGCAGUCUUUGAUAGAGGAGGGGGCUUCAAUGUAUGGAGACAUAAGGUCAGAUUCUUCUCUUUAACCCACGUGGUGGACUGAAGAGCAGAAAUCAGCCAUAUGAAAUAAAGUCAGACCGUGUGUUCAUCAGAUCUUUGCUCAAGCAGUCUUCUGGCCAUUGCAGUCUGAAACAACAGAGUAAAACACAAGGCUGCCAUUAACUGGAGUGGGAUGAUACAAAACAUCAACAAACUCGGUGAAGGUAUCUGUAGAGAUAUAAAAGCUAUUACUGAGAGACAGCUACAUCGUUUCCCAGCCAUACACUGAUAUCCAGAGUCAUCCUUCACAAUUCCUAGUUGCCUUGCACUGCUCGAGGAGUUCAGUCUGAUUGGACAUGAGGCAAGGGACCUGACCUUGGAGCAAACUGGAAUAUCAUAUAAUUACUACUCUGUUAUGUCCACUGCUUCUUUUCUCCCAGCUGUUUCACAAGGUAGGUUGACUAAGGAGGUACGUAAUGGUUUAACUUAUGUCUAAAAUAUCGUACUAUAAGUAUCAAAGAAAUUCAUAGACUCACUUUGACUAACUAACAUUUAUAUUGCAAAUUUUCUGGUCCCAAACUAUCAUCUAUUUGCCAAAUAGUCUUCUUGUUAGGGAUCACAAAUUCCCAGAUAGACUAUAAACUGGUUUACAAUUAAUAAAUAAUGAUUAAUUUGUAAUGUAAUUACA
rnacentral:lncRNA from 1 species